rnacentral:rRNA from 1 species
UACAGAGGGGGCAAGCGUUGUUCGGAAUUACUGGGCGUAAAGGGCGCGUAGGCGGCCCGCUAAGUCGAACGUGAAAUCCCCGAGCUCAACUCGGGAACUGCGUCCGAUACUGGUGGGCUUGAAUCCGGGAGAGGGAUGCGGAAUUCCAGGUGUAGCGGUGAAAUGCGUAGAUAUCUGGAGGAACACCGGUGGCGAAGGCGGCAUCCUGGACCGGCAUUGACGCUGAGGCGCGAAAGCUAGGGGAGCGAACAGG